AGCAGGUACAGGUAUCAAGAAGCAGCAUAAGAGACAUUAUAAACAAAAACAACGGAGAUAAAUGAAAACAAAAGAUAACAUGAACAACGCUGGUCUUAUUGUUCGCUAAAAGUACUAGGUGACUGCAGGUAGCCUGUCUAACUCACAAAACCUAUUCUUGAAAGAUCGAGCAGAAAUAGCAGUUCUCUUGAGCCUUAGUGGGGCACUACUACCAGAGCGUCGUAUCUGUCCCCCAAAAACGAAUGACCUGGUUAAAGUACAUACACUUUUGCUUCUAGUGAAAAGAAUAUAUUUCGCAAGUUGGAAGAUCCGUCUGUUAUCAAAAUUCACUCUAUGGUGAUCUCUGUAUACCAUGGCUAACGACGCAUAGGAAUAUACUGAGGCAAAUGUAUCUACAGCCGUUAUAAAUAACGCAUAGAUAUGUAUUGAAGCUGAGGGACUUGCAAGCCCUAUUAAUGAUGCUUAAGAAGAGAUUGCUGAACCUUCGAAACGACUGUAACGGUGAAUAGCAGUGCUCCCCUGUUUUUCCCCAUACACAGCUCACCUUUUAAGCUAGGUCAUGAGCAAAUUGAGCUGGGGAUUUGUAAUGCACUUGGUACACUCAACCUGCUGGACAAUAUUCUUGACAGAAAUUCGACUGUUGCAGUCUAUAAUGAGUUACUGCGUAUAAUCUCGACGAUAGAUUGCAGGCGACCAUGGGUAUCGACGAGAGCAUUAAAAUAGUAUCCAUUUCUGAAAAAAAAGUCUAGGGAUAAACAACAGCUACGACAAGUCGUAUAGUCCUAUAAUAAAGCAUUGCUUGUUUAGAUCAAUCUCUACACAGAGAAAUGCUAACUGCCGAACCUUCCGAAAUGCCGCCGUGUGAAGUAACAGUCCAACAUGACUCGUUAUGUGUCCGCACAUUGUCAACCUGUAGCUAAUGCAGAAUAAUUGCUUUCAUGUGUAGGAGAGAACCGACAGGCAGCCAAGUCUAUGGUGACGAAUGCUUCACUAUUUUCUCUUAGCUAGGAAAAGUGGUUAGUCGUGCACUGCCUGUUGAUUGUAAUGAAGGAAGUUGUAUGAUCGACGUGGUUAAAUGUUUUGAGCACUGGCGACUUUUUUAGUAAAAGGGUAUAUUGCAGAAGUGGUGAGGUAAAAUCUGACUAUGCGACUGUGGAAACUGAAAGCGUUUUUAUACCAUUAAUGCUGCAGGACUUUAGAAUGUCAUCUCUUACCGGUUGCUUGAGCAAUAAAAGAAAUGUGUCUACUGUUA